GACGAACGCUGGCGGCGUGCUUAACACAUGCAAGUCGAACGCUGAAGCUCAGCUUUUGUUGGGUGGAUGAGUGGCGAACGGGUGAGUAACACGUGAGUAACCUGCCCCCUUCUUUGGGAUAACGCCCGGAAACGGGUGCUAAUACUGGAUAUUCACUGGUCUUCGCAUGGGGGUUGGUGGAAAGGGUUUUUCUGGUGGGGGAUGGGCUCGCGGCCUAUCAGCUUGUUGGUGGGGUGAUGGCCUACCAAGGCUUUGACGGGUAGCCGGCCUGAGAGGGUGACCGGUCACAUUGGGAGUGAGAUACGGCCCAGGCUCCUGCGGGAGGCCGCAGUGGGGAAUAUUGCGCAAUGGGUGCAAGCCUGGUGCGGCGACGCCGCGUGAGGGAUGGAGGCCUUCGGGUUGUGAACCUCGUUCGCUCAUGGUCAAGCCGCAACAAUGGUUGUGGUGAGGGUAGUGGGUAAAGAAGCGCCGGCUAACUACGUG
rnacentral:rRNA from 1 species